rnacentral:rRNA from 1 species
GAUCCUGGCUCAGGACGAACGCUGGCGGCGUGCCUAACACAUGCAAGUCGAACGGAGAAUUUUAUUUCGGUAGAAUUCUUAGUGGCGAACGGGUGAGUAACGCGUAGGCAACCUACCCUUUAGACGGGGGACAACAUUCCGAAAGGAGUGCUAAUACCGGAUGUGAUCAUCGUGCCGCAUGGCAGGAUGAAGAAAGAAUGGCCGUCCUACAAGUAAAGCUAUCGCUAAAGGAAUGGGCCGUGCGGU